GCCGGGAAGAGUAAGAAAUUGAGUCUCUAACAGCAGUGGGAAUGGAAACAUUGAGGAAAGUCUACAUUGUCUUAUUCUCAACUAGAAUUGGGGUGAAGAUAAUGCUUUUGUGCUUUCCUAAUGCCUCCCAUUCCUAUUGUUGUUAGAUGCUCCUUUCUCUUCCUUUUGGCU
rfam:Oryza brachyantha chromosome 4, whole genome shotgun sequence.